GGGGAUGUGACUGAGUGGGACAGCAUCUGCUCUGCAUGCAGAAGAACACAGGUUUUCAAUUCCUGGACUCUCCA